rnacentral:rRNA from 1 species
UAACCUGCCCAAGAGAUCGGGAUAACACCUGGAAACAGAUGCUAAUACCGGAUAACAACANAUGAUGCCUAUCAACUGUUUAAAAGAUGGUUCUGCUAUCACUCUUGGAUGGACCUGCGGUGCAUUAGCUAGUUGGUAGGGUAACGGCCUACCAAGGCGAUGAUGCAUAGCCGAGUUGAGAGACUGAUCGGCCACAUUGGGACUGAGACACGGCCCAAACUCCUACGGGAGGCAGCAGAA